UAGCAAGGUUAACCGAAUAGGGGAGCCGAAGGGAAACCGAGUCUUAACCGGGCGUUAAGUUGCAGGGUAUAGACCCGAAACCCGGUGAUCUAGCCAUGGGCAGGUUGAAGGUUGGGUAACACUAACUGGAGGACCGAACCGACUAAUGUUGAAAAAUUAGCGGAUGACUUGUGGCUGGGGGUGAAAGGCCAAUCAAACCGGGAGAUAGCUGGUUCUCCCCGAAAGCUAUUUAGGUAGCGCCUCGUGAAUUCAUCUCCGGGGGUAGAGCACUGUUUCGGCAAGGGGGUCAUCCCGACUUACCAACCCGAUGCAAACUGCGAAUACCGGAGAAUGUUAUCACGGGAGACACACGGCGGGUGCUAACGUCCGUCGUGAAGAGGGAAACAACCCAGACCGCCAGCUAAGGUCCCAAAGUCAUGGUUAAGUGGGAAACGAUGUGGGAAGGCCCAGACAGCCAGGAUGUUGGCUUAGAAGCAGCCAUCAUUUAAAGAAAGCGUAAUAGCUCACUGGUCGAGUCGGCCUGCGCGGAAGAUGUAACGGGGCUAAACCAUGCACCGAAGCUGCGGCAGCGACACUGUGUGUUGUUGGGUAGGGGAGCGUUCUGUAAGCCUGUGAAGGUGUACUGUGAGGUAUGCUGGAGGUAUCAGAAGUGCGAAUGCUGACAUAAGUAACGAUAAAGCGGGUGAAAAGCCCGCUCGCCGGAAGACCAAGGGUUCCUGUCCAACGUUAAUCGGGGCAGGGUGAGUCGACCCCUAAGGCGAGGCCGAAAGGCGUAGUCGAUGGGAAACAGGUUAAUAUUCCUGUACUUGGUGUUACUGCGAAGGGGGGACGGAGAAGGCUAUGUUGGCCGGGCGACGGUUGUCCCGGUUUAAGCGUGUAGGCUGGUUUUCCAGGCAAAUCCGGAAAAUCAAGGCUGAGGCGUGAUGACGAGGCACUACGGUGCUGAAGCAACAAAUGCCCUGCUUCCAGGAAAAGCCUCUAAGCAUCAGGUAACAUCAAAUCGUACCCCAAACCGACACAGGUGGUCAGGUAGAGAAUACCAAGGCGCUUGAGAGAACUCGGGUGAAGGAACUAGGCAAAAUGGUGCCGUAACUUCGGGAGAAGGCACGCUGAUAUGUAGGUGAAGUCCCUCGCGGAUGGAGCUGAAAUCAGUCGAAGAUACCAGCUGGCUGCAACUGUUUAUUAAAAACACAGCACUGUGCAAACACGAAAGUGGACGUAUACGGUGUGACGCCUGCCCGGUGCCGGAAGGUUAAUUGAUGGGGUCAGCGCAAGCGAAGCUCUUGAUCGAAGCCCCGGUAAACGGCGGCCGUAACUAUAACGGUCCUAAGGUAGCGAAAUUCCUUGUCGGGUAAGUUCCGACCUGCACGAAUGGCGUAAUGAUGGCCAGGCUGUCUCCACCCGAGACUCAGUGAAAUUGAACUCGCUGUGAAGAUGCAGUGUACCCGCGGCAAGACGGAAAGACCCCGUGAACCUUUACUAUAGCUUGACACUGAACAUUGAGCCUUGAUGUGUAGGAUAGGUGGGAGGCUUUGAAGUGUGGACGCCAGUCUGCAUGGAGCCGACCUUGAAAUACCACCCUUUAAUGUUUGAUGUUCUAACGUGGACCCGUGAUCCGGGUUGCGGACAGUGUCUGGUGGGUAGUUUGACUGGGGCGGUCUCCUCCUAAAGAGUAACGGAGGAGCACGAAGGUUGGCUAAUCCUGGUCGGACAUCAGGAGGUUAGUGCAAUGGCAUAAGCCAGCUUGACUGCGAGCGUGACGGCGCGAGCAGGUGCGAAAGCAGGUCAUAGUGAUCCGGUGGUUCUGAAUGGAAGGGCCAUCGCUCAACGGAUAAAAGGUACUCCGGGGAUAACAGGCUGAUACCGCCCAAGAGUUCAUAUCGACGGCGGUGUUUGGCACCUCGAUGUCGGCUCAUCACAUCCUGGGGCUGAAGUAGGUCCCAAGGGUAUGGCUGUUCGCCAUUUAAAGUGGUACGCGAGCUGGGUUUAGAACGUCGUGAGACAGUUCGGUCCCUAUCUGCCGUGGGCGCUGGAGAACUGAGGGGGGCUGCUCCUAGUACGAGAGGACCGGAGUGGACGCAUCACUGGUGUUCGGGUUGUCAUGCCAAUGGCACUGCCCGGUAGCUAAAUGCGGAAGAGAUAAGUGCUGAAAGCAUCUAAGCACGAAACUUGCCCCGAGAUGAGUUCUCCCUGACCCUUUAAGGGUCCUGAAGGAACGUUGAAGACGACGACGUUGAUAGGCCGGGUGUGUAAGCGCAGCGAUGCGUUGAGCUAACCGGUACUAAUGAACCGUGAGGCUUAACCUUACAACGCCGAAGGUGUUU
rnacentral:rRNA from 1 species